GGGUAAGUAGCCUAAGAAAGGUGUGACAUUGAAGCUGUUAAGAUGGCUUAAAAUAAGCCCUAGCCCA
rnacentral:tRNA from 1 species